rnacentral:lncRNA from 1 species
UAUGAGAUCCCUUUUCUGUGACACAAGAUUAAACACCAUGGCAAUGGCUCUGAGUGACAGGUUUAGUAAGCUGCUAGGAAGGUUCCUGGAAGCAUGAAAAAAGUGAUGAUGCAUAUUAAACAAAGUGAAGAUGCUAUAACUUCCAUGGAAGUCUAUAGAGAAAAUAUUUCAAGGACCCAGGGGAUUUGGCAUGCCAGAAUGUAUUUACUGUAUAAAACUGGGAAACCCACUAAUGUGUACAUUCCUUGGGAGGGCUUAGAGGACACUUUAUCAAAGCAGUAGGAAUGAGCUGGUGAGGAAGGUGUCAGUAUUGUUGAGAAGCCCAGUGGUGCUGUCCUUUAUGGGCAGGGUUGACAGUAGGAGAUGCUGUAAUUGUGCCUCCCAGGAGCAAUGUGGAUGAUAGGAUUUUAGAAUAGCAGAGGCCAACAGACAGCACUUAACCAAUGGAAAUUAGAAGGGCAUAAUUAGCAUAAUGCAAAGCAACUUGGGAUGACAGUCAGGGGAACCUGAUCCACAGGGAUUUACGGUGAUGGCUAAUAGAACAUGAUGUCCAUAAGAAUGGGAAAGAUGGGAACUCAGUGACAAUAUUAUUAAUAUACAUACCCUAAGAAAUCAAGAACAGACAAGCAGAAAACAAGAAGCUGACCCAACAGGAAGUCUCCUGAUCUUGCCCAGUUUCCAGACCGAAGUCAUUUCUCAGUUACAGCAUCUACAGACAGAGAGUCCAGAGCCCCAUGAAGAAAGACUCUACCACAGUGUGUACGGUAAUUCUCCCUCCGACCUUCCUUAAAGGGACCUCCAGAAAUUACUCAGGCCUUCUCUUGCUGUAUCUCUCCUGAGUCCCUCAUUCUUCAAGAGCUAUGACUGUGUUGUCUGCUCACUCUAGUGUCUCCUCCAAACAAUUUACAACAUUGUCCUGAGACACAAAAACGACAAGCCCUGUCGAGGACCUCAGGGUUGCUGUUUAUGAAGCAGCUUCAGCAGCCCUGGGCCUUUCUCUCUUGCUUGCUUCCUCACAUCUCAUCAAGACUCACCUGUGGGCCAGGCGUGGUGGCUCACGCCUGUUAUCCCAGCACUCUGGGAGGCCGAGGCAGGUGGAUCAUGAGGUCAGGAGAUUGAGACCAUCCUGGCUAACAUGGUGAAACCUCAUCUCUACUAAAAAUACAAAAAAUUAUCUGGGCAUGGUGGCACAUGCCUGUAGUCCCAGCUACUCGGGAGGCUGAGGCAGGAGAAUCACUUGAACCUGGGAGGUGGAGGUUGCAGUGAGUCGAGAUUGCACCACCAUACUCCAGCCUGGGUGAUACAGCAAGACUCCAUCAAAAACCAACCAAACAAACAAACUCACCUGCUAUCUGUCUAUGUCUUGAUGGGCAAGCAAAAUGACUAAAGACGAUCUCACAAAUUCGUCCAUAGUGGGGAGAUAGUGAUUGCAUCUGUCACACUUCUUUCACAAUCAAAGUAUACUUUACUUUUAAAUAAAGUCCUUCUAUGCUUUCAGUGAGAAGGGGUGGGGAUUUUAAGCAAUUCCGAAGUUCACUGGGGGCACUCAGAUCCCACCCCUUAGGCUGCCAUAUGCUCACUGGAAGGAUCACAUUGAGGACCCUGAAGAGCCUGAAGAGGAAUUGCAUACCUUCUAUUAUUGCUGUUCGCUGUGGAUUGAAGUGCGUCUCUCCAAAAUCCAUAUGUUGAAGCACUAACCCCCGAUGUGACUGUAUUUGGAGAUCAGCCCUUUAAGAUGGUUUUGCCAUGUUGCCCAGGCUGGUCUCAAACUCCUGGCCCCAAGGGAUCCAUCCACCUUGUGUAAGACUGGAGCUGACAUCCAUCCAUCAGUCUUGUGUAAGACUGGAGCUGACAUUCACACCGUAGGCUGGGCCUCCCAGUUAUGACUGCUUUGCUGUCUCACUUACUGCAUGUUAUCCCAUCCUUCUGGAUGUGUGGCAAUCCUCGCCACGUGGCAAGGGCACAGCUGGCUAAACUGGCAGCUAUGCUUUGGAGCUCAUGACAGAUGUCUAUCGAGAGUAAAGAUGAGGAGAUUUAUUAGAAAACUAUCAAGAUUUUGGAGUGUGUUGGUCACUUUUGGAAGCCUUGAAAGGUCUUGCCUGACUCUCCCUCCCCAGGGUCAGAAGCAGAGCCCUAGAGAAAAGCCAGUGAGCCUAAGGGGGGCGGGUGUUAAUGGUAGAAACCCUCACAUCUGUGCCAGGCUCAGGUUCAGAGACCAACACACAAAAUGCUAUAGGCUUCUUAUACCUUCCCUAGAAAUUAAAGCCAAAAUGUCUAGCAACCCAAUCGGGUUUCAAGGAAGCUGAAGAACCUUGUAUUAGUAUGUUCUCACACUGCUAAUAAAGACAUACCUGAGACUGGGUAAUUUAUAAAGGAAAGAGGUUUGAUGGACUCACAGUUCCACAUGGCUGGGGAGGCCUCACAGUCAUGGCGGAAGGUGAAAGGCAUGCCUUACAUGGUGGCAGCAGGCAAAGAGAGAAUGAGAGCCAAGUACAAAGGGAAAGCCCUUAUAAAACCAUCAGAUCUCGUGAGACCUAUUCACUAACACGAGAACAGUAUGAGGGAAACCACCCCCAUGAUUUAAUUAUCUCCCACCAGGUCCCUCUCACAAUACAUGGGAAUUAAGGAAGCUACAAUUCAAGAUGAGAUUUGGAUGGGGACACAGCCAAACCAUAUCAAACAUUUACUAGGCCUGAGAAAAAGUGGCUUAUAUUUGCUGACUCCCUCAGGUGGGUCCUGAUCACGCAAGGUACCAACAACAGAGAAUGGGCUACCAAGCCUGAGCAAGCUUCAAAAGAGAAAAACCUCCUGAGUGCUGUUCUCACACAUGACCAUGGGAGGAAUAUGUAAGGCACAGACUUCUGGGGCUGCUAGAUGGGUUAACCAGGAUGCUCGUCCGCAUGCCUGGAUCGGGGACCUCCCAACUCUAUUCCUGUCUUUGACAUCAGAUCAAUGUGGGUAGAAAUUAACAAGUCUCCUUGCAAAAUAAAAUAUAUAUAUAUUUGAAAUUAAAACAUUAAAUCAUAAAUGAGUGUAAUUUAUUGAAAGAAUAGCACAAUACAAGGG